UGUCAUCUUAUUAUUAUUAUUGGAGUCAGUGGGUAGUAGCCCCAAAAUAAACGGUGGGUACAAAGAACAACCCUCCAUGUAUUAUUGCGUUUAUCAUCUCUUGGGUAUCCCGCAGCAUACCUUAAAACAUGGCCGGAAGUCCAGUUGCCACCGUCGUACCACCACUUGCCCAGAGUGUUCAAGAAAUGUCUGUGAAUGGGAAUGAGCCACCCCCACAAUACUUCCUUAAAGAAAACAGUAUCCAGCCUAUGGAUUCGUAUCUGCCAUCAGAUCCAAUUCCCAUCAUCGACAUCAGUCUCCUCUCCUCUUCGUCGCUAUCUUCUAAAGGAGGAGAAGAAGAGCUACAGAAAUUUAAAUCAACUCUCACUUCAUGGGGCUGCUUUCAGGCGGUAGGCCAUGGACUUUCAAGUUCAUUUCUGGAUAAAGUACGGGAAGUUGGAAAGCAAUUCUUUGCACUUCCGGUGGAAGAGAAAGAAAAGUACUCUAGGGCAACUGAUGGCAUCGAAGGUUAUGGGAAUGACCCUAUUCUUUCAGAGAAUCAAGUGCUUGACUGGUCAUAUCGCUUGUUUCUCAGGCUACAACCAGUGGAUCAAAGAAAGCUUCGACUUUGGCCAGAGAACCCAACUGAGUUUAGAGAGGUCUUAGAUGAAUAUGGCACAAAGGUAAAGAUUAUAAUGGAUGUUCUCUUUAAGGCCAUGGCAAAGUCACUGAAUCUGGAAGAGAAUAGCUUCUCAAGUCGAUUUGGAGAGCGAGCAGUGAUGCAGACAAGGUUUAAUUUCUAUCUGAGUUGUCCGAGGCCUGAUCUGGUUCUUGGUGUUAAACCUCAUUCAGAUAGAUCAGGAAUCACUGUCCUUCUGCAAGACAAAGAAGUAGAAGGUCUUCAAGUUUUCAAAGAUGAUAAAUGGUUUAAGGUUCCUGUAAUUCCCCACGCUCUUGUUGUCAACCUUGGGGAUCAGAUGCAGAUAAUGAGUAAUGGAAUAUUCAAGAGCCCCAUACACAGGGUUGUGACAAACUCAGAAAGGAUGAGGAUAUCAGUAGCUAUGUUUAAUGAACCUGAGCCAGAGAAGGAAAUUGGACCGGUGGAGGGCUUGAUAGAUGAGAAAAGGCCAAGAUUAUAUAGAGACGUGAAAAAUUAUGCUUCUUUCAACUUUGAGUGCUUUCAAAAAGGGGUGGUACCACUUGAAUCAGCAAAAAUAUGAGUCUCAAUUCUCAUUGUCUUCAUAUCCUCUGUUUUUCCAGAAAAGGAGGUGAUCUUCACUAUACAUCAACCAUCUAAUUAACAAUAUGCCAAUCUUGAAGUGCUAAUUGGAUCAUUGACCUACCCGUGAAUUCGAGGCUCAAUCCAUCCAGAAAGAACAGUCAUCAUCAACAUAUUGCAUAUGGGUGCUCCUAUCAGCAAUUGAAAAAGAAGAAUGAAAAGAUGACAAAAAGAUGAAGAUGGCUCUUAUGUGAAGUCAUAAAACAAUUCUUGAAACCUAUAAGGGAAGAGAGAAAAAGAAGGAUUGCUGAGCAGUAGGUAACAUGCAAAUUGGCAAUAAUCCGGUCCUUUCAGAAAACCAGGUUCUAUCCACUAUUUGCUUGGGAUACCAGAAAAUUGAAGGAGGUUCAAAUUUUGGCCCCAAGAGCCAAAUGAUUUUAGGUAACAUUUUUUUUCCAAGUAUUAAGAUUAGUGGGGAAGAAGGGGCAUAUGUCAUCUCCUUUUCGAAGCUAUUUUGAUAUGCGUGAUACUUGAAAUUGAAGCAAUUAAUGACUCUAAAACUGAGCAAACUCUUGAUAUCAUAUUGACCCA